UGUGCCUUCUCUCCAGUGUUUGUCUGAAGAGACUUCCAAAAGAGGUACCAAAGGAAGCCGAACCCAUCCCCUGGCCUCAGAGGGGUCAGAGGUUGGGAGGGACACGCUGGUCUGAGGAUGGACGCAGGAGCGCACUCCCCCGGCUCCCUCUCUGGGCUAUCGCUGCUGCUCAGGCCCUGGGGACCCGCCAGAGUGGGACACCGUGCUCCAACACAGAUGAGGAAACUGAGGCCCCGAGUGCGUCUUCCUCAAGGCCACAUGGUGAAUGGAACAGUCCCUACCAGCCUGGAAAACAGACCAGCCUCUGUCACUCCAGAGAUAACCCACUCUCAUCUUGCUCGUACCUGGCUUCAGGGAUCUUGGGGAGAGAUAAGAGGUUAAAAAAGGGACAUAUCAAAACUCCCUCCUCUUGGAGCCUGCCCAGCUUUCAUCACCCUCCUGCCUCGGCCUGCACGCUGAGCGGAUUAUAAACGCCGCAUCAGGGAGCACUGCUUGGGCCUGUGGCUUGAAAACGGAAAUGCAACCAUAGCAUGGAGACGCUCUGAGAAAAGAUCCAGACCCACCUCAUCUCCCAGCCCUUCAAGCAGAGCUAUAAAAACAAGUUUGGGAGAAAAACACAUUCCCAUCCCCAAAGCAGAGGCCCCGCCUGAGCUCCCCCAUCCUCAGCAUCUGGGGUGGACCAGGUAUGUGUGUGCAUGACUAACACAGAACUUGCCUGAAGACUGGACGGAAACUUAGAAGCCAGCCCUGGGUCCUAGAGCGAGGCUAGGACUGGGCACGUAGAGGGAAACAGCACAUCCCUUCCUGAAGCCCCUUUCUAAGUAUCCAGGUCGUCAUCCAGUGUCAGCAACACCUGGGGUGUGGACGCCAGAUCAGCCACAGAGAAGGAGGCAGCUGCUACCUUCACGUACCCACCCGGCUCGGCCGGGAGGCCCGCUUACCAGGAAGGACCCGAACAUGGCGAUGGAGGAGAGGAAGUGCCAGAUGUCGUGGUCGUCAAAGAAGUCGAGGAGGAUGCAGUCCCGGUUGUGCUCCCUCGACUCUGCAGGGGUUUUCUUGGGGAGCAACAAGAAAAACUGCCGAAUGACCCUGCUCUGGCAGGGCAAGGGCCAGACCCAUCUGCCAUCUUGCUCCUGGGCACCCCUCUCUCCAGCCCCAGGCAGGACAGCAGCAAUUCUGACCUGUCCCUUGUCCUUGUCCCUACCCCUUCCCGAUCUAACAAAUGGCCUUUGGUUACAAACUUC